rnacentral:rRNA from 1 species
ACCGCGUGGGGGAAGAAGGCUCUUGGGUUGUAAACUCCUUUUCUCUGGGAAGAACAAAAUGACGGUACCAGAGGAAUCAGCAUCGGCUAACUCCGUGCCAGCAGCCGCGGUAAGACGGAGGAUGCAAGCGUUAUCCGGAAUGAUUGGGCGUAAAGCGUCCGCAGGUGGCAGUUCAAGUCUGCUGUCAAAGACCGGGGCUUAACCUCGGAAAGGCAGUGGAAACUGAACAGCUAGAGUAUGGUAGGGGCAAAGGGAAUUCCUGGUGUAGCGGUGAAAUGCGUAGAGAUCAGGAAGAACAUCGGUGGCGAAGGCGCUUUGCUGGACCAUAACUGACACUCAGGGACGAAAGCUAGGGGAGCGAAUGGGAUUAGAUACCC